UUGACAGUUUCACUCAUAUUUCACUCACUAAUUACUGUAACUAAAGUGAUAUUUCUUUUUGUCUCCAUAGAGAGAAAUUGAGAGAAUGUUUCGGCGUUUAAUUUCGUGGCUCCCUUGUGUGCCAAGGAAACGACGGAAUAAACCGAGAGAAUCUCUUGCGAUUGAAAGCGAUGAAGUCGGCGCGGUCGUCGUGGUAAGCAGAGAGGAACGGGUUAAUACAAUAUAAUGAUCACACUUUGCUCACUAUGUGCUUUUCCAGCCAUUUCAUUUACUUUUAUUUUUUACUAUUUUUGCUCGUUUAUUCUUGUAAUAAAACAUGAUUUUAUCCUUCCUAGAACCACCAAGAUGAACCCGCUGGCGACAUCAUUGUGGUAAGCAGCAAUUUGUAAAAACACAACUUUCCUGGUUAUUUGUGUUAUUGAAACCUUAUUAUUUACUGACCUAUAGAUUUAUAUGUGACUUUGUCACAGGCCCUUAAUAACGCUGAGAAUUUACUGGUAUAUUCACUACUGACCCCAUUCCCCCAUCAUUUCUACUUUCUCACUUUUAAAUCUAAACUACAAAAUCAUUCAUUACCACAAACCAUAUAUGGCACAUUCUAUAACAUAU